rnacentral:misc_RNA from 1 species
GAUGAAGAACGCAGCGAAAUGCGAAAAGUAAUGUGAAUUGCAGAAUUCAGUGAAUCAUCGAAUCUUUGAACGCACAUUGCGCCCGCCAGUAUUCUGGCGGGCAUGCCUGUUCGAGCGUCAUUUCAACCAUCAAGCCCCCGGCUUGUGUUGGGGACCUGCGGCUGCCGCAGGCCCUGAAAACCAGUGGCGGGCUCGCUGUCACACCGAGCGUAGUAGAUUUUCAUCUCGCUCAGGGCGUGCUGCGGGUUCCGGCCGUAAAAAGCCUUAUUUACCCAAGGUUGACCUCGGAUCAGGUAGGAAGACCCGCUGAACUUAAGCAUAUCAAUAAGCGGAGGA